rnacentral:rRNA from 1 species
UACAUGGGGUGCAAACGUUGCUCGGAAUUAUUGGGCGUAAAGAGCGUGUAGGCGGCUUGGCAAGUCUGCUGUGAAAACUCGAGGCUCAACCUCGAGCUGUCGGCGGAAACUGCUUGGCUAGAGUCCGGAAGAGGAGAGUGGAAUUCCUGGUGUAGCGGUGAAAUGCGCAGAUAUCAGGAAGAACACCUAUGGCGAAGGCAGCUCUCUGGGACGGUACUGACGCUGAGACGCGAAAGCGUGGGGAGCGAACAGG